rnacentral:rRNA from 1 species
CGACGAGUUUGAUCCUGGCUCAGAAUGAACGCUGGCGGCAGGCCUAACACAUGCAAGUCGAGCGAGGUAGCAAUACCUAGCGGCGGACGGGUGAGUAACGCGUGGGAACGUACCCUUUGCUACGGAAUAGCCCCGGGAAACUGGGAGUAAUACCGUAUGUGCCCUUCGGGGGAAAGAUUUAUCGGCAAAGGAUCGGCCCGCGUUGGAUUAGGUAGUUGGUGGGGUAAUGGCCUACCAAGCCGACGAUCCAUAGCUGGUUUGAGAGGAUGAUCAGCCACACUGGGACUGAGACACGGCCCAGACUCCUACGGGAGGCAGCAGUGGGGAAUCUUAGACAAUGGGCGCAAGCCUGAUCUAGCCAUGCCGCGUGAGUGAUGAAGGCCUUAGGGUUGUAAAGCUCUUUCAGAUGGGAAGAUAAUGACGGUACCAUCAGAAGAAGCCCCGGCUAACUCCGUG